AACCUAAGAAACUCUGCAGUCUCAUAGAAACCGAUCCCCCAAAUCUGACUCACUCGCUCUCUCUCUCUCUCUCUAGGUCCUUCAGCUCCUUCAACUCCAUUCAACCUUCUUCAGCUCGAUGAUUCAUCAUUCGGUCGAUCCAAUCUCAGAAUGAUUUUGAUUUCGAAGCUCCACCGCCACCGCAACCACCAUCUGCAUCGUCUACUAACCAUCUGCACAAUUUCGAUUUCAAUCCAAUCUCAGUUUCAUCGAUUCUUCUCUCUCUCUCUCUCUCUCUCUCUCUCUCUCUCUUCCUUCGGUCGAUUCUUCUCCUAGGGUUUACAAUCUUGAAUCUCCUCCUAGGGUUUGGAUCAACUCUCCUCUUGCCUGACUUGCCCCUUGCGAUUUAAUGCAGUAAAUUCUCUCUCUGCUCAUGAAGUUCAUAUUUAAUUAUAAAUUUGUUGUGAGAGAUUUGAAUUUGAAUCCAUGUGUUCAUUCGAAUAUGAAUUUAUAGUUAUCACAUCGUGAAUUCAAUCUGUAAUGCUAUGAUGUUGAACUUGAGUGAUUGCUUCCUCAUGAAUUUGUUGAUACAAUAUUAGCAUUUUAGCAUUGUUCAAUUUUAACUACCUUUGAUGUUUGCUCUAAGUUUAUAUUGCAAGGCUUCCUAUUCUUGACCAAAACAAUGUAGACAGAUUUUCAUAGCAGUUUAUAUUGCUCAUUCUGUGUUUUUGCUAUUAGUGGAUGCAGAAUUUAUUCUUUGUGAAACAGGGGCCUUUACCUUUAUGAUUUUUCUUUGUUCCAGCUGUUCAUCUUUAUGUAUGGUAUCCAUCUUCAUAUACCCCUUUUCCCUCAUCUAUAUUUGCUUUUAUUUUAUGGUGUAUGCUUUUUGUACAUAGUUUAAUUUAUAGGGACUAGUUUUUUUUUAAAUUUUGAGUCUUCAUUGUAAUAACACCUAUCAGGUUAUGGUUAAUAUACACUACAGGCAAUGAGUUAAUAACAGUUUAUGCUUAUUUAGACAAAUCACAUAACAUAAAUAUAAAUUGGUGUGAAUUUUUUGUACAUCAUAUCCAACAUGAACAAUAUACAAAGUGCAAUAAGAAAUGAUGUAAGUUAAGUUUUGUUUUUAAUGUUAUGAUAUCUUGUUAAGUUAAGUUUGUGUGUAUUAGCUAUGUGUGUAUAUAUCUUUGUGUGUUCAAGAGUAUUUGUGUCACACCAUGUUCCUCCCCCCUUUUCUCUCUCCUCCUCCUAGUAGCUAUUCCGGCAACUCCUCUCCCUCCGUCCACUGCCAGAUUCAGGGAUCCGACCCUCUCCACCCUAACGCUCGCAUGCUCCUCUAUGACGAUCUCCUUCUCAACGGGUAAUAAAUCUUCACAUCUUCUCCGAUCUCUUUCAUAUGUAAUUCAAUGGAAUUAAAAAUUGGUGUUGUUGCAAUUCCCUGCUCUAGAAAUAUGAAAUUGGUGUUGUAAGGAGAUAUUGUUAAUUUACCCUUAAAUUUAUUUAUUGAAAUAUGAGCAAAUUAAUCAGGAGCACUAGAAAAUGCUCACAAAUAUUAAGCAUACUUUAGAAUACAUUUGAGAGCCUUGUGAGCUUUAUUUGGUCUGCUUGGACUCAUCUCUAACCUACAAUGCAUUGGUCAUCAAAUUAUUGGACAAACUGAAUUGAAAGUUGCAUCAGUAAAGCUAUUAAGCAUUCUCAGUGUUCACUGAAAUGCCACAAUGAGUCAUUGGAAGAGUUUCAAAGGUUGCCAUUGAAACUGCUAUUGCUGAUGUUAAUGCUGAUCCAAGCAUUCUUAAUGGGACUCAGCUGAAACUAAUCAUGGAGGACACAGGUUGCAAUGUUUUCUUGGGGUCUGUUAAAGGUAUUUUCAUGUUCACCUGUGUUGUCCCCCUUUGUUUUCUAUAUCAGGUUCAGCUCUUAAUUUGACUCUGCCAUGUCUGUUAUGAUGGAAAGUUCUCAUAUUGUCUUAAUUUUUCUUCUUUAAAUAUUUGAUAGAAAACAAUAAACGUUAUAUUAAGUAAUAAGAAUUGGGGAGAGGUCCUAAAUGCUUGUUUCUUCAGAAAAAGUGCCAAAAGAGUGAAACAAAUCCUAUAACCUGUAAAACCUUGAAAAGAAUACAAAGACAGCCUCUUGAUUUUGAUAUACAUGUAAGACAAUACUGUCCUUUCUGCUAAACAAGUUAUGAAGGCACAUCUCUAGAAAGCUAUCUACAGAUGUUCGAUAGAGUUCACAUGUGCAAAUAUUCUUUAUUUUUAGUUAUACCUUUAAUUUUUAUUUUUUUCGGAAUAUCCAUUUAUUGGUAAACAUUGCCUGAUAAGUCAGAUGUGAUAUACGUGGUUGAUACACAACAUAUUACAUGCAUAAGAUUUGCAUCACUAUGGCUUUACUCGAGGCGAAAUUGGGUUACGGGACUGUUACCUUGAGAAUAAUACAAGGGAUUUUUUCAUUCCCCUCACAUUCCUAAUGUUUCUGGGGUUGAUUAGCUGUUUUGGUUCUACUAAGAAAGGCUGGUAGAACGAUAUCUUGCCAGCCUUAGGUUGAACUCAAGCAUCUUGAACCAUCUGUUCAAGUGAUGGGCGUUUCCGCAAUAUGGUUUUAUUGGCACGUUCUUAUAACAGAUCAAUAGAUGAUGAUGCUGUGAGGAAACUAUGCACUAAUUUGAUGUAUCAAUUUUUGCAUGCAGGUCAAGGAAUUGGGCAAAACACAUGGUAUCAAUGAUUCAAAGUCUGGAACUUAAAUUCAUACUGUCUCAGCAUGCUUAUUAUUGUCCAUUUUCAGGUGAUUUUGCCUAUAAUUAUGGUUGUUGACUUCUUCUUGUUAUUGCUAUUGCUUUGUUGUUAUAUAUUUUUAAUUGAAAAUAAAUUGAGGAUUCUUCUUUAAUAUUUCAUCGACUGGAAAUAUUCUAAGAUCUUUGAAGUUGACUAAUUCGCUGAAAGUAAAUUCUACAACCUGUAAAACUUAUAUACAGGAGAAAAUAGUGAACCAUCCCAUCAAAUUGUAUAGUCCUGUUUUUAAGGUGAUCUUAAAGUAUUAUUUGUGUUCCAGUGAUCAUAGUGUGCUCUAUAUUUGUGUCACUUUGUAACUAUAAAUUUUUAGCUUAAUGCAAUCGCAUCUUCUGUGUCUGUUUUCUCCAUUAUAUUAAUAUCCUUUUAUGUCUUUUAAUUAUCCAUUUUUUAUUUCUGAUUUGGAGCAACCAAGAUCUCCACCUUUUUUCUCUGUGCUUCAUCUUUUUCUUCUCCUGCAGACAUUUGUACCUCCACUUUUACCUCCUCUUAAAGAAAUCUACCCAGGAAAUAUAGUUGAUGACCUGAUAGGUGUGAGGGCUGUUGCAGAGAGAUAUAUUGAAUAAAUAUGUGCUGAGAAUAUAAACAAGUUUAGAUCGGAUAAGUCCAGAAAAAUAAAUAGAAGUUCUUUGUCUGAGCUUUUCAUUUCAUUCCUCAAAAAUUUUGCUGACAUUAGUUCUAGGGCCUCAGAAAAAGGAAUCUGCCCAUAUACUGGACAAUGGGAACAAAUUGAUACCAAUAUGAGAUGGCUGCCCAAAACUUGUGCACUAUUUGUUGAGGACCCUUUUGAGCAACCAGUUAACAUGGCUAGGACUGUUGGCAUUAGACAUCUAACGAGGAUAUCAGAAGCAUUUCAGGGAACCCACUAUGCACUUAUGUAUGGAAUUAAAUUAUGUAAGACAUCUAACGAGGAUAUUGGAUAUUAAAUUUGGUUAAUCCUCUAUUAUGUAUGGAAUUAAAU